GGAGGCUAUGAAGGGAAGUGUCACGGAAUAAUCAGUCUUCAGCAGGCAGAUGCAAGGACCAGCCAGAGGAGGGUGGACAAGGCCAGGACAGAUAGUGAGCUGAAGGUACUGACCCAUGGUUUGUUCUCGAGCAGACCAUCCAGAACCAGACCUGUCCUAGUAUACAGCUCAAUAAUCGCUUGCCAGGAACACCAGCUAACAGAAGUUCAGAAAGACAGCUGGAUUGUCUGCCAACAGACAGGACAAAUCUUAAAAACAAGUGCACACCACAAAAUGCAUGAGCCAGGAAGACCCUCUGAGAGUGUAAGGGAACACAAAGCUCUUAAAGUGUCCACCAUACCUGUUUGCUCAACAAGAGCUGAGUUUGACAUUGUCACUCCAAAACAAGAAGACAAGGGGAGUUUGGGAGAAGCUGGAGGAGGAAGUCAGCACACCAAACCACAAGGUACACUUAUCACAACAGUUCACUGGAUGUAUGUGUCAGCGAUAAAUAGCAUCCAGUUCAUUUGUGUUCUUAAGAAAGCUCUGCACCAUAGUUAACACAUCACAGAAAUGCAUUGCUGUCUGACUGUCUUGUGACAGCACCACUGCUAGAUUACAGUAGGACGUCUGUAUAGAUCAAAAGUUGACCAAACCCGGCUUCUAUCAUGACGCUGUAGUCUUACUAGUAUUUAUUAUGUCACUAAUUUAGCUAUGCAAAAUUAAAACUUUUUACUGUUUGUUUAAACCAAGCUCUAAAAGUGCAGAGAUCUUAUAAGCAGAAACGCAGGCAGUUCAAGAAGACCUCUCCAAAGACAAAGGUAAGCAUUUGGUACCACGAGUGAAACUGGCCAGCAAGUUGGCCUCAUUUCACCAAAUCACAUUCAGCCUGUGUCUUUAGCAUAUGACUUCUCAUCCAUUUCAACUUUACCUCACUCUUAUAUUUAGAAUUUUAUUCAUUCAUAUAAUGGCUUUGAAGGACACGAAUAGCUUUGUAGGACUAGUAAAAGCAAUGAAUGUUCUCAUAGACUGCUGUGUAUGUUGUCUGUACACCAGCAGGGAAAGUUUUGGCAUUUCUCUGUCUCCCACACUCAAGCACAUAGAACACAGUUGGUGGCAAUCUGACUCGUAAGAUUUUGCAUCCUGUGUGAAAAUCAGAAGAGAAAAAGCUACGUGAAGUCAUCAAAUCUGUUUGAAACAAUGCUCUAUAUGUUACAACUGAACUUUUUAAACUUUUCUUCUUAUAGUUAGAUUGGAGCUUCUAAUUAAAGUAGCGUUUAGAAACAGUUUUAAUUUAUGUAUCUGCCUUUUCUGUAACUCCUUAAAGAUGUUUCUCAACAGACAUUUCCAAAAUUUGGGAUGUAAUGGAAGGCUAUGAAGUAUGACCAUAUUUACUGAAAAAAAACCCAAUCUUACAACUGACUUUGUUUUUCUCACAGAACAGCAAAGACCAGAAGCCGUGCUCUCUGGGACUUUACUGUUCUGUGUGUGAAAUGCAGCUGCUUCCAGUGGCACAUGGCACAUUACGUCAGGCUUUGUGUAAUUUCGAGCAUCUAUCUUUUCUAAGAAGAGAUGGAUGUAGUGCUGCUGCUCUGACCCAGCGCUGCCAGUGUGCACCCCAUCAGCCAUUCAGUUCAGACAACUCACUGCUGGUAGUCCAAAGUCUGUCCUCACUGAAGGCCCUGCGAACUGCUCUGCAACCUUACUGUGACAACUCUGUAACUGCAUAUAAUGCCAUCUGGAACCCUGAAGAGUGCUCUAUUACCAGAUUUAUGCAAUGCAAAGGCUGCUCCAUUCAAAGCCCCAUUCGUUCUGCAGCUUUAAUAGCUGCAGAGAUCCAGUACCUGGGAGACAUGGCUCAAGAUCAGAUAUGGUUGGCCCCAGCAGCAGUCCACUUCUGCUCUCUCAUCCAUAUUGAAAGUUGAAACAGGACCAGAGAAAGGCUUUUGUUUGUUUUGCCUCCUGUGUGUAAAAGAUUCUUUUUGGCUGCCAUUAUUUUAUGACAUGUACCAGCCACAUUUAUGACAUGGCCUCCAUAACUCUGUGGACUCUGUCCUGUGUUGUCAGAGCUUGCCAAUUUUCAAAUAAAUGGCGUUUGAAGAAAA